GAUGAACGCUGGCGGCGUGCCUAAUACAUGCAAGUCGAGCGAACAGACGAGGAGCUUGCUCCUCUGACGUUAGCGGCGGACGGGUGAGUAACACGUGGAUAACCUACCUAUAAGACUGGGAUAACUUCGGGAAACCGGAGCUAAUACCGGAUAACAUGUUGAACCGCAUGGUUUAACAGUGAAAGACGGUCUUGCUGUCACUUAUAGAUGGAUCCGCGCCGCAUUAGCUAGUUGGUAAGGUAACGGCUUACCAAGGCAACGAUGCGUAGCCGACCUGAGAGGGUGAUCGGCCACACUGGAACUGAGACACGGUCCAGACUCCUACGGGAGGCAGCAGUAGGGAAUCUUCCGCAAUGGGCGAAAGCCUGACGGAGCAACGCCGCGUGAGUGAAGAAGGUCUUCGGAUCGUAAAACUCUGUUAUUAGGGAAGAACAAAUGUGUAAGUAACGAUGCACGUCUUGACGGUACCUAAUCAGAAAGCCACGGCUAACUACGU
rnacentral:rRNA from 1 species